AAUGCCACCAGGCCCAUAGCAGCUGGCUUGGCCUGGCCUAGCCCCCCAAGUUACUCAUUGACAUUGGAAAGCUGGUUGCUGCUCAGCAUCCGUGACUGCCAGCCCCAGGAGGUGGGCAAACCAUGGCCUGGCCCUCCCCUUCUCCGACACAGCUCAGUAGACACUCCUUGGCCUUCUGGGCUUGGACACUACUUUUUCCGUGGCUUCAGACUGGGUCCCACUUCUCCCCUGUGUGCCGGCACCUGCAGCUGCACCUUUGCACACUCUGUGUUCCUUUUCCUUGGAAUGCCCUUCCCACCGCUUCAUCUAUGUGCCACUGGUGACCCCCAGGGAUUCAAGCUGAGCCAAGACUAACUGGACCACAGCCCAGCCAGGAUCUCCCUCCCUUUCCUGACCCUCUGCCUGCUUACCAUCCACGGAAACCUCACGAGAGCGCACCAGGUCACUCUUGUUGCCCACAAGGAUGAUGGGCACAUCGUCUGUCUGCCGUGCCCGUCGCAGCUGGACCCGAAGUUCUGAGGCCUUCUCAAAGCUGCCCUUAUCAGUUAUUGAGUACACGAUGACAUAUGCAUCCCCCAUGGCCAUGCAGUGGCCAGGCAGCCAGCAGCCACCAUCCUAAAGAACACACACACACACACACAUCAACCCAACAGUCUUCAUGCCCCUGACAUGAACCUGUCACUUCCAGCAGGACCCUACCCCAGCUCAACUUCCCACUCCUGCCACGGGUUCCAGUCUAAAUCUUACCUGCUCCCAAAUGUCAUAGACCAUGAGUGAUGCCUCUUCUCCGUCUACCAUGAUGGAGCGAUCAUAAGUGUGUCCUAGGCAGGAGACCAGUAGCCAGGUUACUUGUUGGCUGUCAAAAGCCCCCAUUUCCUUGUUUCCUGUAGUGGCCACAUCCUCCCCUCUCUUCCCCAGAACCCUCCAACCCUCCUCUCCACUAUGAGCAACAAAAAUAAGAGCUAGGAGCUGGGGGAUGGAUAGCAUGGUGUGCCUGACCUCCAUCUACAUCCCUCUAGGCUAGUAAAGUCUUGAGUGCUCCCUGCCCCACUGCUAUCUGGUCCCAUGGUGGCUCUGAUCACAGUGCCUAUAGAAUAGUGACUGUCAUACCCCUGGGGGCCAGCCUUGGCCAUCCAGAGCUCCUCUCCUAGAACUCCCUCUGCUUGUGUUCCUGCCAGCCUUGGCAGGGAGGGAUGUCCUGCUCCACACAGUAGUCACAUCCAAGCCCUGGGUCUUCUAUUUUGGGCAUUUCUUUCCUACCAAGGUCUGACAUGUGGGGUGGGGAUGGGGGUGGAGUCCUUUCUUCCUUAAGUCUCUGCAUCUUGAAAUAGGAAAGUAGACUCUGAAAUAGGUAGGGCUGUUUUUGAAACUGCCUUUAGAAGUCCAUGGUAUUUACUGUUUCUAAUCCAGGUCUCCAGCCCCACAGCCCCCCAACCCCAUCCCAUUCCCACACCAGGGUGAAUCUCCCCUCCCCUGAACAGUAGCAUCACCUCACCUGCAGACUCUGCUUCAGGCCCGUCCUCUACACCACCGAAGAUACGCGCCAGAGCACUCUUGCCCACGCCUGGAGCCCCUAGCAGCAGCACCUUGUAAACACUGUCGUCUGAACUGCUGCCCCCUGAGCUGAGCGAGUCGGAAGAGCCCUCUGGCCAGUCCAGCCUCCGAUCCUGGGGCCCGGUUCCAGUCGCAGCAGCUACCAGGGCGCCAGGAGACAGCGCCGCCUGCAGGUCUCGCUCGUCCACUGGCAUGCUACGGCGGUGAAGCGGAGGCGCCGGGCCCCAGGGGGUGCUGCCCCGACGGCGCUCGCGCUCCCGGACCCCACCGUGGCUCCCGCCAGCUCCGUUGCCACCGCCGUUCAGAGUCAUCGCGUCCAACGCCGUCUGGGUCUGGGAGACCGGGAACCGGGAUAUCAGUGUAAGCCGCAGGGAAGGCGGGAUGCGGAGUCAGGCAAGAUGCUCGGAUCUGCUGCCACCUACUCCCAGGCACUAGAGUCCUUGAGUCCUAACCUGUGAUCCCGCCGGGCCUGGCCUAUCCAUCCCCAACCCAGACGGUGCGGCCCACCCCGCUCUGCCAGGGCACUCACCCACUCACACACAGACAGGGUCAGGACCAGGAUCUGGGCUCCAAUACAGAUACAGCCCGCUGAGUCUAAGAUUCAAUCCACUCGCAGACCAGGGUUCAGUCACUCGGACCCUUGCUGAUGCCGCAGACUCUGCCGCCUCUGCUGUCUCUUCAGCUCCUGCUGGUCUGGGCUCCGGAGCCGCCUAUUUAAGCCCCCGCCCGCCCCCUCCGCCCCCUCCGCCCCCGUCCACGCUGCUGCGGGGGCUGACGUGUUCCGCCCGGGAAUCCCCCACCCUCCCCCUGGGACCUCACCCCCACCCCAACACACACACACUCCCACUCAUCAGGGGUGGGGCAGGUUGUGUGAGAGGUGGGAGGAGGAAGGAGAGGAAGCGAUUGGGGGGUGUGAGAGGGAGGCAGGCAGCGGUAAACUGGACCAGUCAAGCAGUAGCUCCCCUCUGGGGAAGAAUUAGGUCUGGCCCUUUAAGAGUGAAUUCUCCCUUCCCUCUCCUAGUCCUGGCCUGUUGCCCAAGCAAGUAGACUAGUUGUGGACUGGACAGAGAUUCACCCUUCUCCACCUAUGACACCCACUCCCCACAGGCCCAGAUACCAAACUAAAUCCCUGCUUCUAGCCUCAACACCAAGUCCUAUUCUCUUCUCUGUUCUGAAAUAUUGGAGAUUCGCCCUAAGAAGUCUGCCCUUCAGGGUGAGGGUUGUUAUCACUCAUAAACCCCUGGAGGCCCUUAGAGGGCUUCUGGGGGAGAGACCAGGGGGACCCUCUGGCAGCACCAAGCAGAUGCAGAUGCUCUAAUCCUGAGGAGGAAACACAGGCCCAGAGAAGGGAAAAGUUGAACUCAGUCCCCACUCCACCUCCUGGCACCUGCCAAACAGCUGCCAGCAACUCUGCUAAAAAUAUCAGUCCUCCUCCUGGCCCUCCCUGGUCGUUCUGCUCCUGGCCUGAAAGUUGCCAGAGCUGAGGAAAUUCAGGCAGAGGCCAGCCACUUUAGAGUCUUCAAGCUUUACCAGUUUCAUAGCCUCAGUCUGAGCCUGCUGUUUAGCACCCCCCCCCCCCCAGGAGGGGCAUAGAUGCAGAAUAGGGGCAAGAGAUGGGGAAUGUCUUAACCACCCAUUGGUGCCAUCAUUGUCCAGAGCUCACACCUUUCCUCAGAUCUAGGGUGGUGGCUGGGGCACAGAGGGAAGGAGAGGCAAUGGGGGACAGAGUGUCUAGUCCUGGCUCUGCCUCCAGCCUACUGACUCUUGCCCUUCUCCUAGUCUUAGGGUGCCCAGCUAUAUAAAUCGGGCAUCAUGACCUAUUCCCCCACCUUGCUCAUCUCUGGGGUGCAUGAGGGUUGGGGGUAGACAGGCUGUGACAGGAGCUUGCUAUCAGACUCUGACGUUGGAUUGUGACGUUUGAGUGUGGUGGGGGUGGAGAGUACCCAUCUGUGACUCAGGUGACAUCAUGGAUGAAACCUAGUGGGCUCUUGCAGGUUGUCAUGGAGACCUGGGCCAGGCUCUCUGGCUGCUGUGUCAGUUUCCUUGGCAACAUUUAAGAAGGCAUUGAAUUGAGGAGGGCCUGGCUAAGUAAGGUUAGCAGGUUCAUGCAGGGCCCUCUUAUUCCUGAGUUCCCAAAAGUAGGUAAGAGCUGGGCUAAGGGGAGGCCUGUCCAUAGGAAGGAAUUUCAGAGGCCUGGGUGGCCCCAUGCUGGCUUUGGCUUCCUGGACAAUGUCCAGUGCGAAGAGGGAGCCAUGAGUCCAGCCUCUCAUCAGAGGAUAGAAGUCUCAAGAGCUACACACCACUUCCCAUCAGGAAUCCUGGAUAGCUGCUUGUGAUGCCUCCCCCCACCCCUGCCACCUGUAACACAUACACAGUGUGGCUGGAAAGAGCCCAUAGGUGCCUGGAAGAUUCUGGCAGAAGUGGAUGGGUGAGGGGGAUGGGCGGGGGAGGGGGAGAGGAGGAGGUGGUAGCUACAGCCCUUCCCAGCAGGGGCCAUGCAGGGAAACACUGCUGGCUUUCCCUUCUGGUAAUCUGAGCUCUUGACCUCAGCUGUGUGUCUUCAUUGCCAAGGGAACCACAUCCACACAGGGCUACUCAGACCCCAGGCAUUCUGGCAGCUGCCCCAACAGGCCAGAGACACUCAUCACGAGCCUAGGUAUGGCCAGGGGCCCUAGGACAUGACCUUGAGACACCCCUGCCUGUUCAGAAUUGAGGUUGGAGUCAGGCCUAGGGUCCUCUGUCCUUUGUUGUUUACCUCUGUCCAUUUAUCAUGGCUGAGACUCAGUUUCCUCCUGUAUAGACCAAGGAUAAUGUGUUCUUGGGGAUUUUUCUCAGAUAAAUAACAUGAACUGCAGAGGUAAGGUAGCUGGCUCAUGUCUGGCACAGGGUAAUAUCUCAGAAAGAACACUUCUAUUUUUAUUACUCUUGGUUGGAUGGGGCAGGUUGAGUUAAUCUGUUGGCACUCUCUUGCUGCUGUACCAUUCUCUCUAGGAUGGUGAUCUGCCCAGGAAAGGGGCAGAGAUCUCAGGAAUAAUGCAAAUACCACUCCCCUUUAUAGGGUCUCAUGCUCUCUCCUUUCUUCAGGUAACAAAAUGAUGCAAAGGGAACUUAGUUACAGUGUCCCCACCCUUUCUCACUCCUCAACCCAGUGCUCCAGGGCCUCUGCUGUGUUUUAAGACUCCAUCCAUUCAUUCAUUCCAUUAACUUACAAUAAGUAUCUACUGUGUGCCAGGCGGUUAUCCAGGGAGGCAGGAUUAUGAAUGGAAAUAUAGCUACAUAUGUUCAUGUGUGUCAUCUAACCCCUGGGACAAUCUCAUUUAGCUAUGAUUGAUUAUUCCCAUUUAAAAAAUAUGGUAACCAAGGCCUGAGGGGUCGUGGCCAGAAACACAGACCCAGAUACACCUGGCAGAGGGUAUCAAAAGACCUUAAACUCCACCACCUUCCACCACACCCCAGGUCCUCACACACCAGUUGGUGUUCCAGAAAGUUCCUUUGGCAUUGGCUUAGUGUGCACAGAUGGUGCCCUGCAGGCAGCCAGGGGCCAGGCACAGAUGAGUCAAGACUGUCCAGGGGACUAUAUGAAAUGCCAGAUAUGGCAUGGGCAGCUUGGUAUCCCUCACCCACCAAGGCCUGGCUGUCAAGAAGGCCAGCAGAAUGACUCAGCAACACCUGCCUUCCCUGUGAGUCCCACUUUCAGCUGCACAUAGACACCAUGGCCACCUCAGACAAUUGGGGGUAUCAGGGCAGAGGUUUGCAUGUGGUAAGGCCUACAGCUUGGGAAAACUGCUAGAAUCUGAUCACCUGGUAUAUCACCCUGCCUCUCGAGAGCACUCAGCUUCUUCAUCUGUGAAAUAGGGGAUCUGACGUCUGGAAGGUCAUCUGAGAUAGGCCCAGAGCCACUUUAAAUUUCCACAGAGCAGUCCUAAGUACUGCCAUGACUGUCCCUACAUCACAGGUAAAAACCAAACAACUGAGCAAUGGCUGAGGACUUCACUUCUCUGAUCUUAGGCAGCCACAUUCAGAGCCUCUCCUUGGUCACUGGGUGACAAUAGUACUCCUAAAAACUGAUUGUGAUGACAAUAGGAGUUGGGGGUUUCAGGUAGGCCUAAGCCCUUCUCUAGAGGCAACAGUGUCCCCUGUCAUCUAAGCAGCACCUAUCAGGCUGCUCAGGUUCUCCUUUAUUUCCUAGUUGGAAGUCUUAGAAGGAAUUUUUUAUUAAGCCCAUUUCCUUAUCUGCAAAUUGGGGAUAAGAAAAGCACAGGGUUAGAUGGAGAACUAUCCAACUAGACUGUAAGUGUAAAGCCCCUGGUCCAAUGCCCACUCUUAGGACAGGCUUAAGGUUGUCGGUGGUGCUCAAGAACAGAUUUACCAAGUGCCCAGGUUUCCUGUUGAGGCUUCUUUAGGUCUCAGCCCAUAAUCACUUCUGAGCCCCAGCGGGUAUGGUGCGUUCCCAUUUAUCCUCAGAGAAAGAAACUGCGCCAGAGAAUCCCAAGGCAGGGAGCCCUGGGAAAGAACUUCUAACUGGCAGAGCUAGUAUCUAAGCCUGAGGUCUCUCCAAGUAACCAACUGCACUUAGGACCCAGAGCCAGGGGGAGGUGGAGGCGGAGGUCCCAGAACUGAAACAUCACUUCAUGGGAUUGAGCUCCCCUUCUUACUCAACACCUGGGCUAUCAUUCAUCUCUGGGAAGACUGAUUGAAAGGGUUCCUCAGGAUUCUUUCAGCAGAGAAAGCUGAUGUCACUGCCUUGAUGAGGAAACAAGACUGAGCAUCACCAUCAGCUGGACAAGCUAUUAUCACAAACUUAUAAGAGGACAGGUUUAUCUUGGCUCAUAGUUUUGGAGAUUUCGGUCCCUUGUUUGUUGGCUGUUGCUCUGGACCCAUGGUGAGGCAGAACACUAUGUUUGUGUGACAGAGCAAAGCCUCUCACCUCAUGGCCAGGAAGCAAAAGAGAGUAAGAGGGGGUGUCCACUAUCCUUCCUGGAGGGUACACCCUCAACAACAUGAAGACCUCCCCCUCUGCCUUAGCAUAUGGACACAAUAUUUUAUUUAUUUUUUAUGUUGUGCUGAGGAUUGAACCCAGUGCCACAUGUGUGUUAGGCAAGGGCUCCACCACUGAGCUACAACCCCAGCACCAACUGCUCAGUUCUUGACCAAACAAAAGUACUAUAACUGCUGGGCAUGGUUGUGCACACCUGUAACCUCAGCAACUCAGGAAGCUGAGGUAGGAGAAUUGCAAGUUUGAGGCCAUCCUCAACAGCUUAGUGAGGACCUAAGCAACUUAGCAAGGCCAUAAGCAACUUAGUGAGACUCUGUUUCAAAAGGGCUGGGGAUGUAGCUCUGGUAAAGUGCCCCUGGGUUCAAUUCCCAGUACUGCAAAGAAAAAAAAAGUGCUGUGACUACACAGGUUUAUCUUAUAUAGAUGUCAAAAUGAAAAGUCAUGUCUCUGUAAAUAACUCUCAAAUAUACUUACAUUUAUAUGCACACAUAUAAAUAAGGCCAGUGUUAUAACAGGUCAACAAUUGUUGGAUCUACUGACGGUGUUUUGUUUUUUUUUUGUGAUUAACUAUGACUUAUUGAGAAAUUAACACACAGAUUAGAACUCUCAGUCUUCACAUUGUCUAACAUUCUUCAAAAACUGGAUGUGGUUAUGGUAAGGCAGUUUAUUCUAUUUUAUCUUAUUUUUAUUGAUUUUUCUGAUGGUGUUUGAUAUAAAGGUAUAUUCACAUAUUAA